GUGGGGAAUAUUGCACAAUGGGGGAAACCCUGAUGCAGCGACGCCGCGUGAGUGAAGAAGUAAUUCGUUAUGUAAAGCUCUAUCAGCAGGGAAGAAAAUGACGGUACCUGACUAAGAAGCCCCGGCUAACUACGUGCCAGCAGCCGCGGUAAUACGUAGGGGGCAAGCGUUAUCCGGAUUUACUGGGUGUAAAGGGAGCGUAGGUGGUGAGGCAAGUCAGAUGUGAAAGCCCGGGGCUUAACCCCGGGACUGCAUUUGAAACUGUCUGACUGGAGUGCAGGAGAGGUAAGCGGAAUUCCUAGUGUAGCGGUGAAAUGCGUAGAUAUUAGGAGGAACACCAGUGGCGAAGGCGGCUUACUGGACUGUAACUGACACUGAGGCUCGAAAGCGUGGGGAGCAAACAGGA
rnacentral:rRNA from 1 species